GAAGGACAGGAAUUUGGGAGUGAGGUGGUUGGUCUAGUUAGUUGAUGGAAUGACAACAUUUAAAGGGUAGGGACAGAGUCAAUAUUUGAUCGUGGCAAGAUUGUAAUAAUAGAACAAAGAAGGGAUAAGAUGGUACUUUUAAUAUUCUUAAGAACAGUAAAAGGCUGCCCUCUUUUAGUAUAUAGUAAUAAUGGACUGUAAUUUGCAUUCUUCAAAAAUCAUCUAGCUAUAACCUAAUUAGGACAAGGCAGCAAAGUUCAAUAACUGCGAAUUCAACAAGAAAUGCAACUACUUGAAAGAUAAUGCUUCUUGAAGAAGCUAAUCUUGUAUUACUAACACUAGAAGGCAUGAGAGAGUGUACUUAGCCCAAGUAUAUGAGCAAAAAAGGUUCUGGAAACAUCAGGGUCUAAUAUCAGCAUUG
rnacentral:misc_RNA from 1 species